CAGUCGCCGCGGGAAUACGUAGGUCCCGAGCGUUGUCCGGAUUUAUUGGGCGUAAAGGGAGCGCAGGCGGUUUAGUAAGUCUGAAGUUAAAGGCAUUGGCUCAACCGGGGAGGGUCAUUGGAAACUGGGAAACUUGAGUGCAGAAGAGGAGAGUGGAAUUCCACGUGUAGCGGUGAAAUGCGUAGAGAUGUGGAGGAACACCAGUGGCGAAGGCGACUCUCUGGUCUGUAACUGACGCUGAGGAGCGAAAGCGUGGGGAGCGAACAGGAUUAGAUACCCCCGUAGUCCCUGUCUCUUAUAA
rnacentral:rRNA from 1 species